rnacentral:rRNA from 1 species
UACGUAGGGUGCGAGCGUUACUCGGAAUUACUGGGCGUAAAGCGUGCGCAGGCGGUGAUGUAAGACAGUUGUGAAAUCCCCGGGCUCAACCUGGGAACUGCAUCUGUGACUGCAUUGCUGGAGUGCGGCAGAGGGGGAUGGAAUUCCGCGUGUAGCAGUGAAAUGCGUAGAUAUGCGGAGGAACACCGAUGGCGAAGGCAAUCCCCUGGGCCUGCACUGACGCUCAUGCACGAAAGCGUGGGGAGCAAACAGG